AUUUAGCCUCAACAACAGAUUAAGUAGUAAAGCUCUAACACACCAAUUAGCAGAGCUGUAGCUUCUAAAUGCCACAAUACAAAGCACUUAUCAAGAACAGGCAAAAACAACUGGCAGGUCUUUAGGGGAAAAACUGGUUCAUCCAAUGGGUAAGAAAAAAAUGAAAAAUUUUUUAGAUGACAUUUAAAAUGUAGCAAGUCAGUAACUGUGCUCAUGGAAUAGCACCUAUAAUUGGGGUAACUGUAUGAGUUAUUAUCCAAAACAGGACACUUUUGAGUUAAAGAGGCUUUUAAUAAUUAUGCCAGCAAAACAGGUAUAGAAUAGGACUCCCCAAGUAAACCAGAAUGAAUGGCUCUCAAACUGUGGUACUUCCCUGGAUAUUAAUAGACCGAAUAAUCAUGAUAUAUAAUAACUAAAAUGUUCCACAGAGGAAUUGGCCUUAAUUACAAAGUUAGAAACCACAGAUGGUGUUAAUACAAGUUCUUUUCUCUCUCCACCCAUAUCCUUGGUGUGAAACAUCAAAUAGCCCUUUUAUAAUUACAAAGCACAGCAGUAAUUAAUAUUGAUCUCAGAACUCAGUAAAGGUCAACACUAAUUUAUAGAAAAUUUUGGAUUCAAUCUAGUUUUUACUCUGGAAUUGAUGCAGUGGGCAGUGUUUCACCAGCCCCAACACCAUCACCAUGAUGACGACAGGCACAAACUUGGAAAAAUUGUCUGAAAAAGUUUUUUUUUCUAAAGAUAUAGCACACUUCUGUAUGGAUCUUGAAUCCCUAGUGAAAUGGUGCCUUCAUUAUGAAAAGAAACAUCUUUUCAUUGGGUUUCUAAGCUGAAGGAGUUUGGUUUUUCUUUUCCACUUUAACAAAUAUUAAUUAGGGUCUACAGUAUGCUACACUCUGCCCUAAGUGACAGAUAAAGCAGUGGACAAACAGACCAAAUGAUUGUCAACUCAAUUAAAAAUACUGUUUAGUCAUCUGUCAUCUUUGAGACUAAUGGUUCACAAACCUGACUGCACAUCAGAAUUACUAGGGGAGCUUUUUAAAAAAUAUUAUGCCUCGUCACAUAAAAACCUAUACACAAAUAUUCAUGGUAGAAUUACUCAUAAUAGCUAGAAAUAGAAACAAUCCAAAUGUGCAUCAACUAAUGAAUGGAUAAAUUAAAAUGUAAGGUAUACAUAAAAUGGAAUACUUUUUACCAGUUAAAGAGAAUGAAGUUCUGACACACAGAUGAAUCUUGCAUCUAAGUGAAAGAAACCAGACACAAAAGACCACAUAUUCUAUGGUUCCAUUCAUAUGAAAUGUCCAAAAUAGGCAAAUCUAUAGAGACAGAAUGAAGAUUAGGGGUUGUCUAGGGCUGACGAUCUUGGGGAGGAAUGCAGACUGGCAGUUAAUAGGUACAGCAUUUCUUUUUAGGGUGAUUAAGAAUGUUCCAAAAUUGAUUGUAGUGACAGUUGUACAAGCUUGUGAAUACACAAAAACCCACUGAAUUAUUCACUCUAAAUAAAUUGUGCAGUAUGUAAACUAUGUCAAUAAAGCUGAUAAAAGAAUACUAAGCUUGGAUCUCAGUCCAAAAGUCUAUGAUUCAAAUGGGAAUCAUUUGAUUUUCAUAUUCAGCACUGAGAAACAUUGAGAUAAAUUAAGUAACUCAAAUGCUGAGGUUUUUAUAUUUUUUUUCCUUUAAAUGUUUUUUUGAGACAGAGUCUUGCUCUCUUG
rnacentral:lncRNA from 1 species